rnacentral:rRNA from 1 species
GGACUACCAGGGUAUCUAAUCCCGUUUGCUCCCCUGGCUUUCGCACCUCAGCGUCAGUAAUCCACCAGUGCACCGCUUUCGCCGCCGGAGUUCCUCCCGAUAUCAACGCAUUUCACCGCUCCACCGGGAAUUCCAUGCACCCCUUGGAUCCUCAAGCAACGCAGUACUGGACGCAGUUCCCCGGUUGGGCCGGGGGAUUUCACAUCCAACUUACGCCGCCGCCUACGUGCGCUUUAUGCCCAGUGAUUCCGAACAACGCUCGCCACCUUCGUCUUACCGCGGCUGCUGGCAC